GCCCUUCUGUGGUGCAAUGGGUGAGUGUGCCUGGCUGUUAACCAGAAGGUUGGUGGUUCGAGCCCCAGGGAUA